UACAGAGGGUGCUAGCGUUGUUCGGAAUCAUUGGGCGUAAAGGGCGUGUAGGCGGUUUGCUAAGUCAUGUGUGAAAUCCCUCGGCUCAACCGGGGAACGACGCAUGAAACUGGCAAGCUAGAGUACCAAAGAGGGGGGUGGAAUUCCCGGUGUAGCGGUGAAAUGCGUAGAUAUCGAGAGGAACACCUGCGGCGAAGGCGGGUUGCUGGGCUGAUGACUGACGCUGAGGCGCGAAAGCCAGGGGAGCGAACGGG
rnacentral:rRNA from 1 species